rnacentral:rRNA from 1 species
AGUGAACGCUGGCGGUAGGCCUAACACAUGCAAGUCGAACGGCAGCACAGUAAGAGCUUGCUCUUACGGGUGGCGAGUGGCGGACGGGUGAGGAAUACAUCGGAAUCUACUUUUUCAUGGGGGAUAACGUAGGGAAACUUACGCUAAUACCGCAUACGACCUACGGGUGAAAGCAGGGGAUCUUCGGACCUUGCGCGAUUGAAUGAGCCGAUGUCGGAUUAGCUAGUUGGCGGGGUAAAGGCCCACCAAGGCGACGAUCCGUAGCUGGUCUGAGAGGAUGAUCAGCCACACUGGAACUGAGACACGGUCCAGACUCCUACGGGAGGCAGCAGUGGGGAAUAUUGGACAAAGGGCGCAAGCCUGAUCCAGCCAUACCGCGUGGGUGAAGAAGGCCUUCGGGUUGUAAAGCCCUUUUGUUGGGAAAGAAAAGCAGCAGGUUAAUACCCCGCUGUUCUGACGGUACCCAAAGAAUAAGCACCGGCUAACUUCGUG